rnacentral:rRNA from 1 species
CCUACGGGUGGCUGCAGUGGGGAAUAUUGGACAAUGGGCGAAAGCCUGAUCCAGCCAUGCCGCGUGUGUGAAGAAGGCCUUCGGGUUGUAAAGCACUUUCAGUGGGGAAGAAAGCCUUGGGGCUAAUACCCUCGAGGAAGGACAUCACCCACAGAAGAAGCACCGGCUAACUCCGUGCCAGCAGCCGCGGUAAUACGGAGGGUGCGAGCGUUAAUCGGAAUUACUGGGCGUAAAGCGCGCGUAGGCGGUCUGAUAAGCCGGUUGUGAAAGCCCCGGGCUCAACCUGGGAACGGCAUCCGGAACUGUCAGGCUAGAGUGCAGGAGAGGAAGGUAGAAUUCCCGGUGUAGCGGUGAAAUGCGUAGAGAUCGGGAGGAAUACCAGUGGCGAAGGCAGCCUUCAGGACUGACACUGACGCUGAGGUGCGAAAGCGUGGGUAGCAAACAGGAUUAGAUACCCUGGUAGUC